AGUCCUGCACCAUGCGGUAGUCGGUCCACAGGCCAGUGUCGGGAUCCUUCUUGGCGGCGACGACUGGGUUGACAGCGCAGGCUGUCGGUCCCUGGUAUUCCUUGACAAUGCCCGCUUUAACAAGCUCGGCUGUCUUUUCGGCGAUGACCUCGCGCUCCUUGGGGCUAUAGCGUCGAGGAGGCUGGACAAUCGGCUUGUCGGUGUCCAGAUCUGGCCUAAAGGGCCCUAAAUCAC
rnacentral:lncRNA from 1 species